rnacentral:rRNA from 1 species
UUGACCUCGGAUCAGGUAGGGUUACCCGCUGAACUUAAGCAUAUCAAUAAGCGGAGGAAAAGAAACCAACAGGGAUUGCCUCAGUAACGGCGAGUGAAGCGGCAACAGCUCAAAUUUGAAAUCUGGUCACCUUACGGAGGCCCGAGUUGUAAUUUGAAGAGGAUGCUUUUGGCGAGGUGCCUUCCGAGUGCCCUGGAACGGGACGCCACAGAGGGUGAGAGCCCCGUAUGGUUGGACACCGAGCCUAUGUAAAGCUCCUUCGACGAGUCGAGUAGUUUGGGAAUGCUGCUCAAAAUGGGAGGUAAACCCCUUCUAAAGCUAAAUAUUGGCCAGAGACCGAUAGCGCACAAGUAGAGUGAUCGAAAGAUGAAAAGCACUUUGAAAAGAGAGUUAAACAGCACGUGAAAUUGUUGAAAGGGAAGCGCUUGCGACCAGACUUGCGCCCGUCGGAUCAACCGUCGCUUGUCGGCGGCUCACUCCGGCGGGCUCAGGCCAGCAUCAGUUUUCCCGGGGGGAGAAAGGCGGUGGGAAUGUAGCUCCUAGGAGUGUUAUAGCCCGCCGCGUAAUACCCUCGGGGGGACUGAGGACCGCGCAUC